AUGAACGCUAGCUACAGGCUUAACACAUGCAAGUCGAGGGGCAGCAUUUUAGUUUGCUUGCAAACUGAAGAUGGCGACCGGCGCACGGGUGAGUAACACGUAUCCAACCUGCCGAUAACUCCGGGAUAGCCUUUCGAAAGAAAGAUUAAUACCGGAUAGCAUACGAAUAUCGCAUGAUAUUUUUAUUAAAGAAUUUCGGUUAUCGAUGGGGAUGCGUUCCAUUAGUUUGUUGGCGGGGUAACGGCCCACCAAGACUACGAUGGAUAGGGGUUCUGAGAGGAAGGUCCCCCACAUUGGAACUGAGACACGGUCCAAACUCCUACGGGAGGCAGCAGUGAGGAAUAUUGGUCAAUGGGCGCGAGCCUGAACCAGCCAAGUAGCGUGAAGGAUGAAGGCUCUAUGGGUCGUAAACUUCUUUUAUAUGGGAAUAAAGUUUUCCACGUGUGGAAUUUUGUAUGUACCAUAUGAAUAAGGAUCGGCUAACUCCGUGCCAGCAGCCGCGGUAAUACGGAGGAUCCGAGCGUUAUCCGGAUUUAUUGGGUUUAAAGGGAGCGUAGGUGGAUUGUUAAGUCAGUUGUGAAAGUUUGCGGCUCAACCGUAAAAUUGCAGUUGAAACUGGCAGUCUUGAGUACAGUAGAGGUGGGCGGAAUUCGUGGUGUAGCGGUGAAAUGCUUAGAUAUCACGAAGAACUCCGAUUGCGAAGGCAGCUCACUAGACUGUCACUGACACUGAUGCUCGAAAGUGUGGGUAUCAAACAGGAUUAGAUACCCUGGUAGUCCACACAGUAAACGAUGAAUACUCGCUGUUUGCGAUAUACAGUAAGCGGCCAAGCGAAAGCAUUAAGUAUUCCACCUGGGGAGUACGCCGGCAACGGUGAAACUCAAAGGAAUUGACGGGGGCCCGCACAAGCGGAGGAACAUGUGGUUUAAUUCGACGCAACGCGAAGAACCUUACCAAGUCUUGACAUCCCUUGACGAACAUAGAAAUAUGUUUUCUCUUCGGAGCAAGGAGACAGGUGGUGCAUGGUUGUCGUCAGCUCGUGUCGUGAGAUGUUGGGUUAAGUCCCGCAACGAGCGCAACCCCUGUGAUUAGUUGCCAGCGAGUAAUGUCGGGAACUCUAAUCAAACUGCCGGUGAUAAAUCGGAGGAAGGUGGGGACGACGUCAAAUCAUCAUGCCCUUUAUGUCUUGGGCUACACACGUACUACAAUGGCGUUAAACAAAGAGAAGCAAGACCGCGAGGUGGAGCAAAACUCAGAAACAACGUCCCAGUUCGGACUGCAGGCUGCAACUCGCCUGCACGAAGUCGGAAUUGCUAGUAAUCGUGGAUCAGCAUGCCACGGUGAAUACGUUCCCGGGCCUUGUACACACCGCCCGUCACACCAUGGGAGUUGGAAAUGCCCGAAGUCAGUGACCCAACCGCAAGGAGGGAGCUGCCGAAGGCAGGACCGAUAACUGGGGUG
rnacentral:rRNA from 1 species